UACAUGUGGGGCAAGCGUUGUUCGGAAUUACUGGGCGUAAAGGGUGCGUAGGCGGGCCUUUAAGUCAGAGGUGAAAUCCUGGAGCUCAACUCCAGAACUGCCUUUGAUACUGAGGAUCUUGAGUACGGGAGAGGUGAGUGGAACUGCGAGUGUAGAGGUGAAAUUCGUAGAUAUUCGCAAGAACACCAGUGGCGAAGGCGGCUCACUGGCCCGUUACUGACGCUGAGGCACGAAAGCGUGGGGAGCAAACAGG
rnacentral:rRNA from 1 species